rnacentral:rRNA from 1 species
GAUGAACGCUGGCGGCGUGCCUAAUACAUGCAAGUCGAGCGAACAGACGAGGAGCUUGCUCCUCUGACGUUAGCGGCGGACGGGUGAGUAACACGUGGAUAACCUACCUAUAAGACUGGGAUAACCUCGGGAAACCGGAGCUAAUACCGGAUAAUAUAUUGAACCGCAUGGUUCAAUAGUGAAAGACGGUUUUGCUGUCACUUAUAGAUGGAUCCGCGCCGCAUUAGCUAGUUGGUAAGGUAACGGCUUACCAAGGCAACGAUGCGUAGCCGACCUGAGAGGGUGAUCGGCCACACUGGAACUGAGACACGGUCCAGACUCCUACGGGAGGCAGCAGUAGGGAAUCUUCCGCAAUGGGCGAAAGCCUGACGGAGCAACGCCGCGUGAGUGAUGAAGGUCUUCGGAUCGUAAAACUCUGUUAUUAGGGAAGAACAAAUGUGUAAGUAACUAUGCACGUCUUGACGGCACCUAAUCAGAAAGCCACGGCUAACUACGUG